GGAUUUUAUAAAACAACAGGAAGAUAAUUAAAAUCUCACUAAUGGGAAUUUGUUCAAAUUUUAUAAAAGAAACAUGAAAGGGCAGAUAUAUUAACCUCUAGCUUUGAUUUGGUGGGAUAGUGAUUUUGUAAGGGAAUUAAGAUAGUUAUUGCUGCAGGCUGCUGCUGAUAGUGCAGCAACAGAUACACUUUUGUAAUUUUUCAUAUAUGCAGAGAUGGGUUGAGUUAUAUAUAUUUCACUAAAUUAAACUCAGUCUAUGUUAUGAGUAUAAUAAUCAAUACCAAUUAGUCUACAGUUCAAAUAAAGGAAGGCCUUUGUUCUCUUAUUUAUGACUAUCCGAUUGGGAUUAGGAUUUCUAGUAAUCUAAAUCAAUGUAAUGCUCCAAUUAUGGACACAGUUUUUGAAUGGAUAAAAUUCCAUCAAUUAUUCUAUUAGCUUUUUUUUCUUUUUUUUGAUAAAAUCUAAUUCUAGGAAGUGUGAGA
rnacentral:misc_RNA from 1 species